GAUGAAGAACGUAGCGAAAUGCGAUAAGUAAUGUGAAUUGCAGAAUUCAGUGAAUCAUCGAAUCUUUGAACGCACAUUGCGCCCGCCAGUAUUCUGGCGGGCAUGCCUGUUCGAGCGUCAUUACAACCCUCAGGCCCCCGGGCCUGGCGUUGGGGAUCGGCGGAGCCCCCCGUGGGCACACGCCGUCCCCCAAAUGCAGUGGCGGUCCCGCCGCAGCUUCCAUCGCGUAGUAGCUAACACCUCGCGACUGGAGAGCGGCGCGGGCACGCCGUAAAACACCCAACUCUUCUGAAGUUGACCUCGAAUCAGGUAGGAAUACCCGCUGAACUUAAGCAUAUCAAUAAGCGGAGGA
rnacentral:misc_RNA from 1 species